ACGAGUGGCGGACGGGUGAGUAAUGUCUGGGAAACUGCCUGAUGGAGGGGGAUAACUACUGGAAACGGUAGCUAAUACCGCAUAACGUCGCAAGACCAAAGAGGGGGACCUUCGGGCCUCUUGCCAUCGGAUGUGCCCAGAUGGGAUUAGCUAGUAGGUGGGGUAACGGCUCACCUAGGCGACGAUCCCUAGCUGGUCUGAGAGGAUGACCAGCCACACUGGAACUGAGACACGGUCCAGACUCCUACGGGAGGCAGCAGUGGGGAAUAUUGCACAAUGGGCGCAAGCCUGAUGCAGCCAUGCCGCGUGUAUGAAGAAGGCCUUCGGGUUGUAAAGUACUUUCAGCGGGGAGGAAGGGAGUAAAGUUAAUACCUUUGCUCAUUGACGUUACCCGCAGAAGAAGCACCGGCUAACUCCGUGCCAGCAGCCGCGGUAAUAC
rnacentral:rRNA from 1 species